AGUGAACGCUGGCGGUAGGCCUAACACAUGCAAGUCGAACGGCAGCACAGUAAGAGCUUGCUCUUACGGGUGGCGAGUGGCGGACGGGUGAGGAAUACAUCGGAAUCUACUUUUUCGUGGGGGAUAACGUAGGGAAACUUACGCUAAUACCGCAUACGACCUACGGGUGAAAGCAGGGGAUCUUCGGACCUUGCGCGAUUGAAUGAGCCGAUGUCGGAUUAGCUAGUUGGCGGGGUAAAGGCGCACCAAGGCGACGAUCCGUAGCUGAUCUGAGAGGAUGAUGGGACACAAGGGAACUGAGACACGGGCCAGACGACGACGGGAGGCAGCAGGAGGGAAUCUGCGGCAAUGGGCGAAAGCCUGACGGAGCAACGCCGCGUGAGUGAGGAAGGUCUUAGGAUCGUAAAACUCUGUUAUGAGGGAAGAACAAAUGUGUAAGUAACUAUGCACGUCUUGACGGUACCGAAUCAGAAAGACACGGCUAACUACGUG
rnacentral:rRNA from 1 species